rnacentral:rRNA from 1 species
GAACUAACAAGGAUUCCCCUAGUAACUGCGAGUGAAGCGGGAAAAGCUCAAAUUUAAAAUCUGGUGGCCUUUGGCCAUCCGAGUUGUAAUUUAGAGAAGCGUUUUCCGCGCUGGUCCGUGCACAAGUCUCCUGGAAUGGAGCGUCAUAGAGGGUGAGAAUCCCGUCUUUGGCACGGACACACCAGGGCUUUGUGAUGCGCUCUCGAAGAGUCGAGUUGUUUGGGAAUGCAGCUCAAAAUGGGUGGUGAACUCCAUCUAAAGCUAAAUAUUGGCGAGAGACCGAUAGCGAACAAGUACCGUGAGGGAAAGAUGAAAAGCACUUUGGAAAGAGAGUGAAACAGUACGUGAAAUUGUUGAAAGGGAAACGCUUGAAGUCAGUCGCGUCGACCGAGACUCAGCCUUGCCUUGGCUUGGUGUACUUCUCGGCUGACGGGUCAGCAUCAAUUUUGCCUCUUGGAUAAUGGCAAGGGAAAUGUGACACCUUUACGGUGUGUUAUAGUCUCUUGUCGCAUGCAAGGGUUGGGAUUGAGGAACUCAGCACGCGCCUUUGGGUGUCGGGGCUUUGCCCACGAUACGUGCUUAGGAUGUUGGCGUAAUGGCUUUAAACGACCCGUCUUGAAACACGGACCAAGGAGUCUAACAUGCCUGCGAGUGUUCGGGUGGAAAACCCGUGCGCGCAAUGAAAGUGAAAGUUGGGACCUCUGUCGUGGAGGGCACCGACGCCCGGACCAGACCUUCUGUGACGGCUCUGCGGUAAAGCAUGUAUGUUAGGACCCGAAAGAUGGUGAACUAUGCCUGAAUAGGGUGAAGCCAGAGGAAACUCUGGUGGAGGCUCGUAGCGAUUCUGACGUGCAAAUCGAUCGUCAAAUUUGGGUAUAGGGGCGAAAGACUAAUCGAACCAUCUAGUAGCUGGUCCUCC